UACAGAGGGUGCAAGCGUUGUUCGGAAUUAUUGGGCGUAAAGGGCGCGUAGGCGGCCUGGCAAGUGGAAGGUGAAAUCCCUCGGCUUAACCGAGGAACUGCCCUCCAAACUGCUUGGCUUGAGUCCGGGAGAGGUGAGUGGAAUUCCCAGUGUAGCGGUGAAAUGCGUAGAUAUUGGGAGGAACACCAGUGGCGAAGGCGGCUCACUGGACCGGAACUGACGCUGAGGCGCGAAAGCGUGGGGAGCAAACAGG
rnacentral:rRNA from 1 species